rnacentral:rRNA from 1 species
UUCUUUAAGGUAAGGAGGUGAUCCAACCGCAGGUUCCCCUACGGUUACCUUGUUACGACUUCACCCCAGUCAUGAAUCACAAAGUGGUAAGCGCCCUCCCGAAGGUUAAGCUACCUACUUCUUUUGCAACCCACUCCCAUGGUGUGACGGGCGGUGUGUACAAGGCCCGGGAACGUAUUCACCGUGGCAUUCUGAUCCACGAUUACUAGCGAUUCCGACUUCAUGGAGUCGAGUUGCAGACUCCAAUCCGGACUACGACGCACUUUAUGAGGUCCGCUUGCUCUCGCGAGGUCGCUUCUCUUUGUAUGCGCCAUUGUAGCACGUGUGUAGCCCUGGUCGUAAGGGCCAUGAUGACUUGACGUCAUCCCCACCUUCCUCCAGUUUAUCACUGGCAGUCUCCUUUGAGUUCCCGGCCGGACCGCUGGCAACAAAGGAUAAGGGUUGCGCUCGUUGCGGGACUUAACCCAACAUUUCACAACACGAGCUGACGACAGCCAUGCAGCACCUGUCUCACGGUUCCCGAAGGCACAUUCUCAUCUCUGAAAACUUCCGUGGAUGUCAAGACCAGGUAAGGUUCUUCGCGUUGCAUCGAAUUAAACCACAUGCUCCACCGCUUGUGCGGGCCCCCGUCAAUUCAUUUGAGUUUUAACCUUGCGGCCGUACUCCCCAGGCGGUCUACUUAACGCGUUAGCUCCGGAAGCCACGCCUCAAGGGCACAACCUCCAAGUAGACAUCGUUUACGGCGUGGACUACCAGGGUAUCUAAUCCUGUUUGCUCCCCACGCUUUCGCACCUGAGCGUCAGUCUUUGUCCAGGGGGCCGCCUUCGCCACCGGUAUUCCUCCAGAUCUCUACGCAUUUCNNNNNNNNNNNNNNNNNNNNCCCCCCUCUACAAGACUCAAGCCUGCCAGUUUCGAAUGCAGUUCCCAGGUUGAGCCCGGGGAUUUCACAUCCGACUUGACAGACCGCCUGCGUGCGCUUUACGCCCAGUAAUUCCGAUUAACGCUUGCACCCUCCGUAUUACCGCGGCUGCUGGCACGGAGUUAGCCGGUGCUUCUUCUGCGGGUAACGUCAAUUGCUGCGGUUAUUAACCACAACACCUUCCUCCCCGCUGAAAGUACUUUACAACCCGAAGGCCUUCUUCAUACACGCGGCAUGGCUGCAUCAGGCUUGCGCCCAUUGUGCAAUAUUCCCCACUGCUGCCUCCCGUAGGAGUCUGGACCGUGUCUCAGUUCCAGUGUGGCUGGUCAUCCUCUCAGACCAGCUAGGGAUCGUCGCCUUGGUGAGCCGUUACCUCACCAACAAGCUAAUCCCAUCUGGGCACAUCUGAUGGCAAGAGGCCCGAAGGUCCCCCUCUUUGGUCUUGCGACGUUAUGCGGUAUUAGCCACCGUUUCCAGUAGUUAUCCCCCUCCAUCAGGCAGUUUCCCAGACAUUACUCNNNNNNNNNNNNNNNNNNNNAAAGCAGCAAGCUGCUUCCUGUUACCGUUCGACUUGCAUGUGUUAGGCCUGCCGCCAGCGUUCAAUCUGAGCCAUGAUCAAACUCUUCAAUUUAAAAGUUUGAUGCUCAAUGAAUUAAACUUCGUAAUGAAUUACGUGUU